AUGUUUUAUUUCUACAUCAGUUUCUGUGUUGUUUCUACAGAUUUAACUCUGCCAGUCAACAUAUACUUUUAGUUGGAUCUACCUCUCCAUUCUAUCACUAUAAACCCGCAAAUAUACGCCCUCUGGUGCUAGAAAAUGUGGAGAGACAUCGUGCUCAAUACUAUGUUUAGGUUUGCCGACGUUGAAGUUCCCAACUUUUCGAUCUAGUCCACAGUCCUGACUAUCUUAUUUGUAAUAUAUAUUUAUGGAGGAAGUCAACUACUUAAUACGAACUUCCAGUUUGUAUGAUGAUGAUAAUCUUGUUAAAUCUCUGCUCGUUUCUUUAUUACAUACUUUAUAAGAAAACACCAUUCAGAAUUAUGUUACUACAUUAGGGAUAUUUUAAUAUUUAUUUGGUCUUUUCCACAAUCUCUAUGGUUGUUAAUAUAUAGAGUUCGUUUGAGCACAUAGCUCACCUGGUAUCUGUAAAACAUCUGGUAUAGUCGCGUGUUUGUGUUUUCAUCACUUUCCAACCAAGCCUCACCCCUGCUUGUAUUAUUAACAACCAAAUCUGUACUUUUUUAUUUACUCUUAACAAUAUUGCUUUAUAUGAAAUAAUUUUCUUUUCUUUAGUUUCCUUAUCCUUGUUUAAAAUCUCAUUUUGGAAAUACUUAUACAAACAGUAGUUUAGGAACACGUGAUUUUCAAGGUUUUGUUACCUUACUUGGAUUGUAGCAGCACGAUUUAAUAAGGGUUUUACAUUGCUUAGAUUGUAACAGCACAUGACUUGUGGUUUUGUUACAUUAUUUAGAUUGUAGCAGCACAUGAUUUAUCGAGGUUUUGCUGCUUUAUUUAGAUUGUAGCAGCACGAUUUAUCGAGGUUUUGUUACGUUAUUUAGAUUGUAACAGCACAUGACUUGUGGUUUUGUUAACGUUAUUUAGAUUGUAGCAGCACAUGAUUUAUCGAGGUUUUGCUGCUUUAUUAAGAUUGUAGCAGCACGAUUUAUCGAGGUUUUGUUACGUUAUUUAGAUUGUAGCAGCACAUGAUUUAUCGAGGUUUUGUUAAGUUAUUUAGAUUGUAGCAGCAUAAGACUUGUCGUGGUUUUGUUACGUUAUUUAGAAUGUAGCAGCACAUGAUUUAUCGAGGUUUUGUUACGUUAUUUAGAUUGUAGCAGCAUAUGACUUGUCGUGGUUUUGUUACGUUAUUUAGAAUGUAGCAGCACAUGAUUUAUCGAGGUUUUGUUACGUUACUUCGAUUGUAGCAACACAUGACUUGUCAUGGUUUUGUUACAUUAUUUAGAAUGUAGCAGCACAUGACUUGUCGUGGUUUUGUUACAUUAUUUAGAAUGUAGCAGCACAUGACUUGUCGUUUUGUUACGUUAUUUAGAUUGUAGCAGCAUAUGACUUGUCGUGGUUUUGUUACGUUAUUUAGAAUGUAGCAGCACAUGACUUGUCGUGGUUUUGUUACGUUACUUCGAUUGUAGCAACACAUGACUUGUCGUGGUUUUGUUACAUUAUUUAGAAUGUAGCAGCACAUGACUUGUCGUGGUUUUGUUACAUUAUUUAGAAUGUAGCAGCACAUGACUUGUCGUAGUUUUGUUACGUUAUUUAGAAUGUAGUAGCAAGCAGAAAUCAAGUUUGUAGACAUCACAUAUGUUGGACGUACAAAAAAUGUGUAGAUUUAUAGAUGUAAUAGAAUGUCUAGCUGGAGGAGCAGUGAAAGUAACAUCACGGGUAUUCGUAUAUAUACAUCACACACCACCAGCUAAGUCUUACAUCUCAAGACUUCUUGUUUUAUGACCACAUGUGGCAUCACCCAUCAAAUUGUGUAUAAUAUCAACCAGCUGGCCUGGUGAGUGUUAAUAUUGAGCAACAGACAGCCUCUAUAACUGAAAUGUUAAUCAGCACUUCAAACCUUUAAUGGACUGAUAAAGAAUGGUGUGGUUAGACUAUUACUAGGUCUUGUAGAAUAACUUCACUAAAUGUACAUUUCCACAAAUCUGAUUGAUGUUUAGUUUUAUUUAUCGUUAUGUUUAUUGUAUUCUGUCAUAUCACCGGCAAUUGAUUAUUUAGGACCAAAACAAAUAUUUUCAAAUGUUGCUAUUAGACGUGCCGAAUAAACAGUGUGAACUUAUUUUAAUGAUUAUACAGGAAUAUUUUUACAAUUAUCAACUAUUUUGUAGUUUCUGAAAGUUGUGAAAUAAAUUUUCCAACAGAAAA